rnacentral:rRNA from 1 species
UACAGAGGUCCCGAGCGUUUGUUCGGAUUCAUUGGGCGUAAAGGGUGCGUAGGCGGUCUGCUAAGUUUGAUGUGAAAUCCCGGGGCUCAACCCUGGAAUUGCAUUGAAUACUGGUGGACUAGAGUACUGGAGAGGAAACUGGAAUUUACGGUGUAGCAGUGAAAUGCGUAGAGAUCGUAAGGAAGACCAGUGGCGAAGGCGAGUUUCUGGACAGUAACUGACGCUGAGGCACGAAGGCCAGGGGAGCAAACGGG